rnacentral:tRNA from 1 species
CAUCAUGAAGCUUAAAGCGUUAACCUUUUAAGUUAAAGUCAGAGACUUCCACGUCUCCAUGAUGA